AGAGUUUGAUCCUGGCUCAGAAUGAACGCUGGCGGCGUGCCUAACACAUGCAAGUCGGAUGUGCCGCAAGGUGCAUGGCAGACGGGUGAGUAACGCGUGGGGAAUCUACCUCUUUGUGGGGAAUAACGCUCCGAAAGGAGUGGUAAUACCGCAUGAGAUCCAUGGCUGGGAUGCUGUGGAUGAAACCUGGGGACCUUCGGGCCUGGGGCAAGGAGAGGAUCCUGCGUCUGAUUAGCUAGUUGGUGAGGUAACGGCCCACCAAGGCGACGAUCAGUAGCCGGCCUGAGAGGGUGAUCGGCCACACUGGAACUGAGACACGGUCCAGACUCCUACGGGAGGCAGCAGUGGGGAAUUUUGCGCAAUGGGCGAAAGCCUGACGCAGCAACGCCGCGUGGGUGAUGAAGGUCUUCGGAUCGUAAAACCCUGUCGUCGGGGACGAAGGCGGACUUGUUAAUAGCGAGUUUGCUUGACGGUACCCGGAGAGGAAGCCCCGGCUAACUCUGUGCCAGCAGCCGCGGUAAUACAGAGGGGGCAAGCGUUAUUCGGAAUUAUUGGGCGUAAAGGGCGCGUAGGCGGCUUUUUAAGUGAGAUGUGUAAUCCCCGAGCUCAACUUGGGAACUGCAUCUCAUACUGGGAGGCUAGAGUACUGGAGAGGGUGGUAGAAUUCCACGUGUAGCGGUGAAAUGCGUAGAGAUGUGGAGGAAUACCAGUGGCGAAGGCGGCCACCUGGACAGUAACUGACGCUGAGGCGCGAAAGUGUGGGUAGCAAACAGGAUUAGAUACCCUGGUAGUCC
rnacentral:rRNA from 1 species